rnacentral:snRNA from 1 species
GUGUUCACUCUGGCAGCACAUAUACUAAACUGGAAUGAUGCAGAGAUUAGCACGGCUCUUCCUGCAUAAGGAUGACAUGCAAAUUUAUGAAAAAAUAUAAAAUCCA